AACGAACGUUGGCGGCGCGCCUAACACAUGCAAGUCGAACGGCAGCACAGAAGAGCUUGCUCUUCGGGUGGCGAGUGGCGGACGGGUGAGUAAUGUCUGGGAAACUGCCCGAUGGAGGGGGAUAACUACUGGAAACGGUAGCUAAUACCGCAUAACGUCGGAAGACCAAAGGAGGGGACCUUCGGGCCUCACACCAUCGGAAGUGGCCAGAUGGGUUUAGCUAGUAGGUGGGGUAAUGGCUGACCUAGGCGACGAUCCCUAGCUGGUCUGAGAGGAUGACCAGCCACACUGGAACUGAGACACGGUCCAGACUCCUAAGGGAGGCAGCAGUGGGGAAUAUUGCACAAUGGGCGCAAGCCUGAUGCAGCCAUGCCGCGUGUAUGAAGAAAGCCUUCGGGUUGUAAAGUACUUUCAGCGGGGAGGAAGGCGGUGAGGUUAAUAACCUUGCCGAUUGACGUUACCCGCAGAAGAAGCACCGGCUAACUCCGUGCCAGCAGCCGCAGUAAAAC
rnacentral:rRNA from 1 species